CCUCAGGUAUUACAGUAGCAACUGAAGCAAGUAUUGAAGCAGUUUAAUCACAAUCAGUUAGCCAUACAAUUUCUCCAGUCUGUGAAAAAAUAGUAACCAAAUCCCAGUGAAGAAGAAAGAGAAAAGAAAGAAGGGAUAGCAAGAAUAGACAGCUAUGCAAAUCUACUAUCCACUGUAUAUUCUAGGGGUAACAAGAGGGGAAAGGGAACUAGAACAGAGAUACACACAUAGAGAGUCCACUCUGAGUCAGAUUUCUUCCCCAAAAUAAUUCACAAAUUCAGAAAGGCAAAGAAGAAGGAAGAAGUGUAUGACAAGAGAAAAAAAAAAAGAAAAGAAAAAGAAAAAAGAGACAAAGAGAGACAAGAGAGAGAAAAGGGAAAAGAUAAGAAAAAGAGCUGUAAUUAAAAAGCAGUGAAAGGAAAUUCCCAAAUGUGUAUCAGUGAAUUCAAAAAAGCACACUGUUUGGUGGUGUGGGGGCUGGGGGCUGUGACUUUGGAAGCUGUAGGAUUAAGGAAGAAAGGAUGACAAGAAUGAGAAAAAGAAAAAUAAAAAAAAAGAAAGA